rnacentral:lncRNA from 1 species
CUCUUUCUAGGGACUUUCCUGAGUGGGAGGGAUUUCGCCGGAACAAAAAUGCCUCAGUUUGGAGGUCGCGCUCACUGCGACGGCAGGCUUUGAGUGUAGCACUUGGUAGUUCUUCCUCUGCUCUGCUUCCCUUCGGAGGAAAAUUUCAGGCUGAAGGUUUAGCGGGUGCCGCCUCUAAAGAGAGCAAUCACUACACUUAUGGCUGGGAUUUUGCGCUUAGUAGUUCAAUGGCCCCCAGGCAGACUACAGACUGUGACAAAAGGUGUGGAGUCUCUUAUUUGUACAGAUUGGAUUCGUCACAAAUUCACCAGAUCAAGAAUUCCAGAAAAAGUGUUUCAGGCCUCACCUGAAGAUCAUGAAAAAUACGGUGGGGAUCCACAGAACCCUCAUAAACUGCAUAUUGUUACCAGAAUAAAAAGUACAAGAAGACGUCCAUAUUGGGAAAAAGAUAUAAUAAAGAUGCUUGGAUUAGAAAAAGCACAUACCCCUCAAGUUCACAAGAAUAUCCCUUCAGUGAAUGCAAAAUUGAAAGUAGUUAAGCAUUUGAUAAGAAUCAAGCCCUUGAAGUUGCCACAAGGACUUCCAGCAGAGGAGAACAUGUCUAACACGUGCCUCAAAAGCACUGGGGAGUUAGUAGUGCAGUGGCAUCUGAAACCUGUGGAGCAGAAAGCACAUGAGUCCUAAUGCCCCAGCAGCUUCCGAUUGGAAAAUGCAAAUUGUUUUUAUUUAAAGAUGAUACCUGGAGGGGUGGGGAGAAGUAAGAAUUGUAAGGGAGGUUCAGUAGUGGGGAAUUCUGUGACAGCUGAUUGAAGAUGAUGAUGAAGAACCUCUGCAUUCUAGUUACCCUUUGCUUCCCUUCACCUCUUGUAAAAUUUGGCUUGGCAACAAUGACAUUGUCAUGCUUAUUGUCCCAAUAUCCAUCCUGUCGUAGAUCUUAAUGUUUUUGAUCGUUGCGUUAAAGUGGAAGUGCCACCCACAGUGAAACCAGAUCCCAUUAAUAAAUAAGCUUAAAGGCAACUGCAGUUUUAAUUCCAUAGUUAUUGAAUAUCCAGUGUGUGUAAGGCCUGGAGGGGAGCCAAAGGACACUAACUUCUAAGAGCUCCGUCUAGUUGGAGAGAAACCUGUGUGCCACAACAUACAGUGUCCUUGCUUAUGUGGGGUCGAAGACAUCUGUGAAAAUAAAAGCAGCCUCUGCUAAUUUAGCGCCAUCUCUUUUACUGUGCUAAUUUUUUUUUCUUUAGAGACAGGGUCUCACUCUGUCGCCCAGCCUGGAGGGCAGUGGUGUGAUCGUAGCUCACUAUUACCUCCAACUCUUGGGCUCAAGUGAUCCUCCCACCUCAGCCUCCUGAGCAGCUAGGACUACAGAUACAUGCCACCGCUCCCGGCUAGUAUUUUUUAAAAUUUUUUGUAGAGCCAAGUGUUGCUAUGUUGUCCACACUGAUCUGGAGCUUCUAAUCUCAAAUGAUUCUCCUGCCUCAGCCUCCCAAAGUGCUGGGAAUACAGGUGUGAGCCACCAUACCUGGCCUUACUGUACUAAUAUUAAUAUUGUGUAAAUAGGGGAAAAUACCAUGGUUAAUUUUUACUCAAACAGUAAGAAAGUUUGAGUAACUAAUUUUAAUCUCAACAGCCCAUAGCUAGAAGAGGGGAUCUAAAUGUUAAGUUGAAUAUUUAGAAAUAAAAGUGUCUACAAGAAGAAAAGUCUUUAGUGAAAAUAUGGGCAUAGGCCAGCAGCAUUAGCUUUCUAUUGCUGCAGAACAAAUUACCACAAACUUAGCUGCUUAAAACAACACACACUUAUUGUCUCACAAUGUUUGUGGGUCGGAAGUCUAGGCGUGGCUUAGCUGGGUAGUCUGUUUAGGAUCUCAGUGCUGGAAAAACGUGUCUGGCCAGGUGCUCAUUGUAGCUUUGACAGGGAAGGGAUCUGCUCCCAAGCACUCUCAGGUUGUUGGCAGAAUUUGUUUCCUUAUGGCUGUAGGAUUCAUGGCAAGUUGCUUCUUCCAAAACCAGCAUUGGAGACAGACUAGCAAGAUGGGCACUACACUCUUAGAUAAUCAAAUAAAUGCAAUCAUGUGCCUCGUGUCACCUUUUUUGCAUUCCAUUCAUUAAGAACAAGUUGCAGUUCCUACCUACACUCAAGGAAGGGAGGAAUUACACAGAAGUGUGACCACAGGAGGCAGGGCUCAUGGAGGCCUCCUUAAAGUCCCCCAGCCAAACCUGAAAAGUCAAUCCUGGACCUUAUCAUAGUGGCUGUAUAGUUUAGAAGGUUUCUUCAGAUUGGCAUUCCUUUGCCUCAUAUCAUCACUUCAAAACCCUAUAAGGGUUUGUUCCUCGGUCUUGACUUUGUGUCUUUGAGGAUUGCUUUGUUUAGUGUCACCUGCCUUCUUUCAGGAGGUUUUGCCUGACAUCUGGUGGUGACCGUGGCCACCAAGUCAACCCAAACACUACCUUUAAGGACGACUGCAGUUCUCUUAGGGUCUCCUCAAUCUAAAAUUGUACCUCUUUCAGGCCAAACACCUAUUUUCUUCAUUUUUUUUUUCUCAUAAGAAUGCUAGCUAGUAUGCCUAUUAUCUAACUGGCACAGUUUCACCAAGGACAGUUUGGAACUACACAGGCCAUUUUAGGGAGAUUUUGACAUGAACAAGAUUGCUUCUUUGGGAGGUACCUUAAAAUGAAAAGCAAAGAAACUUCCAUGCGGAGAUUGUCUUGUUUUUCUCAAAAUGGGAUAAUUUUGCUUAACAUAAGUAGUAUCCCUUCCUUCCUUUCCAUACUUUGAGAAUUAAUAAGGACUAGCUUUUUGAUCACACAGCUUGAUAAAAUUUUCAAGGGUCCAAAUUACUGUCUAAACCAUUUGCCACUCUUUGUGUAUAUUUGUCAAAAUCUGCUUUUCUAUAUCAAAACUUUUCUCUCAAGACCUGAGGGAAUUAAUUAAUAAGGAAUCCUUGGAACACUGGAAAUUCUAAAAUAAGAGUCAGAUACAAAACACUGGUCACUAAAAUUCUUACCUUUAUGUAUUAGAAUGGCAAUCAAUGAACAAACUGAAAAUGUCUUUGGAUAUUAUUUCUGUUUAUUUUUUGCCUCAAAAUUAUUAAAUGACAUGAAAUAAGUGCUCAAGAAGAAAAAUAAACAAUUCUUCAUUUCC